GACAGUAUGGUGCAAUGGUUUGGGCACCAGACUGUGACGCUGGAGACCAGGGUUCAAAUCCCUGCUUGGUCA